UACGUAGGGGGCUAGCGUUGUCCGGAAUCAUUGGGCGUAAAGAGCGUGUAGGCGGCCCGGUAUGUCCGCUGUAAAAGUCAAAGGCUCAACCUUUGAAUGUCAGUGGAUACUGCCGGGCUAGAGUCCGGAAGAGGCGAGUGGAACUCCUGGUGUAGCGGUGGAAUGCGCAGAUAUCAGGAAGAACACCAACGGCGAAGGCAGCUCGCUGGGACGGUACUGACGCUGAGACGCGAAAGCGCGGGGAGCGAACAGG
rnacentral:rRNA from 1 species